GCACAACGCGAAGAACCUUACCCACCUUUGACAUGUACGGAAUCCUUUAGAGAUAGAGGAGUGCUCGAAAGAGAGCCGUAACACAGGUGCUGCAUGGCUGUCGUCAGCUCGUGUCGUGAGAUGUUGGGUUAAGUCCCGCAACGAGCGCAACCCUUGCCAUUAGUUGCUACGAAAGGGCACUCUAAUGGGACUGCCGGUGACAAACCGGAGGAAGGUGGGGAUGACGUCAAGUCCUCAUGGCCCUUAUAGGUGGGGCUACACACGUCAUACAAUGGCUGGUACAGAGGGUUGCCAACCCGCGAGGGGGAGCUAAUCCCAUAAAGCCAGUCGUAGUCCGGAUCGCAGUCUGCAACUCGACUGCGUGAAGUCGGAAUCGCUAGUAAUCGCGGAUCAGAAUGUCGCGGUGAAUACGUUCCCGGGUCUUGUACACACCG
rnacentral:rRNA from 1 species